UUCUUUCAAAAUAUUCUAGCUAGGAAAGAAAGUUUAAUUCAGGGAAGGAAAAAAAGCACCCAGAGACUUCCUUCUUCAAACAGAUAUGAAGUUUGCACCCGCAUUCUGCCCAGCUUAUUUUCGAUACAGGGUUGUGCCAAACCUGGAGCUUGCCACUUUGCUGGUCUGAGAGUGCCCAGCCCCUCCUUCUUCACCCCUGCAGCACCAGGUCACAGAGGAAGAUGUGUACCUCACAUCACAGCAAAGAGUGUGAAGCUCGGAUGCUUUGUUUCAUACACAGGGAAAAGUGGUUUCCAGCUCAAUCAGACAUUUCUGCAUUUGAACUCAACUGAUGUCCCCUCUGGGUAAUCAGACAAAAAGCCAUGAAGAGUCUGGAGGAGAGAGUGUCAAGCUGUUACGAAUGCUGUAGCAACCUGUCUCAAGCUUGGAGGCUCACAGCAAUGUGGUGCCAUCAUCCCACACACCAAGGCGACAAGAUCCUGGGUACCUAUGGGUAUCUGCACUGCCCUCCUUUCUGGUGGUUCCAGGAAGCCUUCCUUUUCUGACCUGUAUCAGUUUCUUUGCCAUUCCUUGGCUCACAGUCCCUUCCCAUCCGUCUAACCCAUCAA